UGUCAAUGCUCGUAAGAGUGAACUAGCUAACUGAAAUCUUAAAGUCAUUUAAUAAUGGUAUUUAAGAUAACGUAAGGGAAAAAAAUGAUAGUACCUUACUAUAAGUGUUGUCUAACAUUACUGGUGCCAGAAGACUCGGUAACGCCAGAAACGCAAACGUUAGUCGUCCUAAACAGGCGUAAAGGGUAAGUAGGCUGCUUUAACAGUUAUGAAUUAGAAAGCUCUUUAAAUUUUAAAGCAAUUUAUAAUGAAUUAAAGCUAGAAUCAAAUAGAGGAUAAUGAAUAUAAUGAAUUGAGUAAGAAUGAUAUCUUUAGAUACUUUUCAGAAUACUUAAGGUGAAAACUUUUAUCUACUAUUGAUUGACGCUGAGGAACGAAGGUGAGAAUAGAAAACAGGAUUAGAGACCCUGGUAUCUCUCACUGUCAACGAUGAAUGGUGGUUGUUAGUUUAAGGUAAACUAGUAACGAUGUUAACGCGAUAACCAUUCCGCCUUGCGAGUACGGUUGCAAAACU
rnacentral:rRNA from 1 species